CGGAUGCUUUGGCAAAUCUUUUUUUCUGAGCUCUCAAGUGAGCAGGGCACAGGUGUUUUCUUUAAGCAAAUUUGGUGGGCAAGAUGGUUUUGUUGUUUGUGUGUGAAUCUGUCCUCUGUGGGGAAAGAUGACAAUUUCCAUCUUCUCCAGAGCCCAGACAUUUAAUCCUACCACUUCCUCAGGAAGCUCUGAGCUGCAGUGCUGCAGAGUCACCUCCCUUCACUCAGACCAGGACCUCUCCCAUCUGCCUCAGUGGAAGAGGUCUCCAGCAAAGCAUCAUCCACAACAAAGCAGCAUCAGUGGUGAUUCCUGACUUCUUCUUGCAGGCACCAAGACCUACUGCUUCUGGUCACAAACCUCCAGAUGGAUCUACCAAAAUGAUACCUCUCAGUACUGGUACAAGAUCAAUGAAGACCUCAAAACCAACCAACCAACCAAACAAGCAAACAAAAAACCUUCAAGUUUGUCACCAGUUCAAUGUGGAGGAAGAAGGUCAGAGAGGAGGCAUUUCAGACUGAUGUUUGGUUCAGGUUUAGUAAAUUCCUUGAGCAUUUUUAUUUGAAAUUUGUAUUAUAAUGCUUCUGGUGGGGAAAAAAUGAAUAACAGAACCACAGAACCUGAAUACUGCAACAUAAUGGCACACACAUUGCAGCCAGAUAGAUCCUGAUCCAAGUCUGACUGAUUAUAACUGCAGUAGAGAACUCUGGCCAAGGUAGUUUGCUAAAAUUCACAACAGGACAGUGGGCAAGGUGAUGGAGCUGUUAGCAGCAAGAGAUGAUAAAUCUCUUUCUGAAAUGGGAACUGACUGACAACUAUGUCUAUCUCCAGUGUAUUACAGGUUAUUUCAUCUGCUUCUCCCUGCAGACAAGCCCGCACAAAGAUCAAGCCAA
rnacentral:lncRNA from 1 species